AGCUUGCAUCAAGUUGACACACAAAACCAGCCACCACAGUCAGGAAGCUCAGCUCCCUAGCUGUCUCUUAAUUCAGUUGGGGACUGCAGCCCAUGGGAUGGCGUCACCCACAAUCAAGGGUAUUCAACAGUCAUCAAGCAUAUAAGAACACUAGAUGCAAGAUAAGAAGGUAGCUGGCCCUGGGGUGAUAAGCAAGGCAAUGCCCUGGCCCUCAAGAUUCUCACGGGUCAUUCUGGAAAACAGCUGGUCUUCAAAGGUUUGAAUGUUAGAGAGCCAGGAGGGAGUGUUUUGCAGUGUUCUGUGAUGGGUUAAGAAGAGAAAGUGUCACAAAGCCGCUGGCUGCUUAAGCUGACCCUGAAGAAAGGAACUAAGACCCCAACAUACACAAGAGGAAACACAGGUCUCCGAAGAAGUAUGGCAGAGCAUAUCUCUCACAGGGUGGAGGUCUUGCUCGUCACCAGUCUCAGACACCACAGCCCUUCCAUCCCACAUCCAGCAUUACUGCUCAAGUAUUUCUACUAAGAACCCACAUUUUUCUUUUCCACCAAAGACAACACUCUUCUUUGGCCUUGUUCAUAUGUUAAGUCAAUCUUUGGUAUCUUUGCCAUUGACCUCAGACUCCUUUGCUUAAGCCGUUGAGUCAUUGCCCUGCCCCAAAAUAAUUACUAGUAACAAAAACAAUAUAGAAAUGUUCUAUUCUUUUUUCUUUCCAAUCAAUCAAAACAGCAUUUUUAUAUGAUGGAAAAUGCAAACAGGCAAAUAGCAAACAAUUUAGUUGGUAAAUUAUAGUACAUCAACAUGACAGAAGACUAUUCAGCCAGAAAGACACCAUUAAGAAGACAACAGAUGGCACAUGGGAAAGUAAAGCACAAAAUGAUCAAUAAUUAUACUUACAGAAAAAUACUUGUAAAGUGUUACUUGGAAAUGUUUAAAGCUUUAAGGAGUAAUAAAAUACAGAAAUAUUCAAUGUUUUAAAAUGC